AAAAAUGCAUGGAACGGAAAGAGUAUGCUGUAGGAGUUUUACAGAGAAGGAAUGCCAUCGGCUGAAAGCAUUCCCAAAACCAAAAUGGCAGAAGUGCAUCCGGGAGCAGGCUUGGCGAGGCAGGAAAUUUCCUGAGUUAACAAAGCACGUUAUUCCCACGUUACGGGUCAAAGCAGGAUGGAAGCAUCCUGGAAUUAGAGUGGAACCGCGGAUACCUUCGCCUCUAGG
rnacentral:ncRNA from 1 species